AUGUCGACGCCCUCUGAUCCAGCGGCGUCCGCCCAGCCCCCCUCCACCGCGGCCACCUCCAGCAGCGGCCUCACCUUCAAGCUCCACCCCCUCGUCAUCGUGAACGUCUCCGACCACUACACCCGCGUCAAGGCCCAGGCCUCCUUCACCGCUGAAGCCCCGUCGCCGGGCAAGGCGCAGGCCUCCUGCUCCGCCGAAGGCUCCUCGGCGCCCGCGGAGCCGCCGAGGGUCUUCGGGUGCGUGAUCGGGGUGCAGCGCGGCCGGACGGUCGAGAUCUUCAACAGCUUCGAGCUCGUCCUCGACCCCGUCACCGGCACGCUCGAGCGCGCCUUCCUGGAGAAGAAGCUUGAGCUCUAUAAGAAGGUGUUCCCUGAGUUCUAUGUGCUGGGCUGGUACUCGACUGGGAGCGAUGUGCAGGAUACUGACAUCCUAAUCCACAAGGCUCUGAUGGACAUUAAUGAAAGCCCUGUUUAUCUUCUCUUGAAUCCUGCAAUCAACCACUCCCAGAAGGAUCUCCCUGUGACAAUUUAUGAGAGUGAGUUGCAUGUUAUUGAUGGUGGCCCCCAGCUCAUCUUUGUCAAAUCAAAUUACACAAUUGAGACUGUAGAAGCAGAGAGGAUAUCUGUAGAUCAUGUUGCCCAUCUGAAACCAUCUGAUGGUGGCUCUGCAGCAACUCAAUUGGCUGCUCAUCUUACAGGAAUACACAGUGCCAUCAAGAUGCUCAAUAGCAGGGUUCGUGUUAUCCAGCAAUACCUCGGUGCCAUGCAAAAAGGUGAUAUGCCACUGGACAAUUCACUUCUUAGGCAAGUCUCAAGCCUCGUAAGAAGACUACCAGCUGUGGAAUCGGAGAAAUUCCAAGGUGACUUCUUAACGGAAUACAAUGACACCCUCCUCAUGACUUACCUUGCAAUGUUCACAAACUGUUCAAGCACAAUGAACGAGUUGGUCGAGAAGUUUAACACCACCUAUGAGAGAUCCCCUGCCAGGAGAGGAGGCCGAGGCGCUUUCAUGUAG
rnacentral:rRNA from 1 species